CGCAGACGCACGCGCAGACGCACGCGCAGACGCACGCGCAGACGCACGCGCAGACGCACGCGCAGACGCACGCCAGGAGUGGAAGCCCCCGCACAGCGAAGCUUCCGCCCGGCGGCGGAGGCCCGGGGUUGGUGAAGCGUCGAGGCGGGCACGGCGGCUGGUUCGGCCUCUCGCUCCGCUGCUUGGGCCGGCUCCUUAACUCCCUGUCACCUGGGCCCCUAGUGCGGGUGUCCUGGAGCGCUAGCCCGCCGCGGCGCCCAGGUACGAAGAAUGGUGAUUAUCAUACAAAUGGGAAGAAAGGCAAAGAAGAUGCUUUUUUUUGUUUUAGGUUGGGCAACUGAACAGAAACUGCAAUUUUAGGAUGAAGAAGGGUGGAGGAAGAACGAGCCGGAUCAGAAGACGGAAACUCUUCAGAUGUUCUGUAUCAAGAGGAGUGAAUGAGAGCUACAAGCCUGAAUUUAUAGAGCUUAAGAAGUGGCUGAAAGAUAGGAAGUUUGAAGAUACAAACUUAAUACCUGCUUGUUUUCCAGGUACAGGAAGAGGGCUGAUGAGCAAAACAUCCCUGCGGGAGGGGCAGAUGAUUAUUUCGUUGCCUGAGAGUUGCCUGAUCACCACGGACACAGUGAUUAGAAGCUACUUAGGGACAUACAUUGCUAAGUGGCAGCCUCCUCCAUCUCCUCUGCUGGCUCUGUGCACCUUUUUAGUUUCAGAAAAGCAUGCUGGGGACCAGUCUCUCUGGAAGCCUUACCUGGAGAUUUUGCCGCAGGCCUACACCUGCCCUGUGUGUUUGGAGCCAGAAGUGGUGAAUCUUUUCCCCAAACCUUUGAAAGCAAAGGCCGAAGAGCAGAGAGCCCGUGUGCAGGAGUUCUUUUCUUCCUCCAGAGACUUUUUCUCUUCCCUGCAGCCCCUGUUUUCUGAGACUGUAGAGAGCAUCUUUAGCUACAGGGCCCUCCUAUGGGCCUGGUGCACGGUCAACACCAGAGCUGUGUACGUGAAGCACAGGCAGAGGCAAUGCUUCUCCAUGGAGCCAAACACCUACGCUCUUGCCCCAUACUUGGAUCUGCUGAAUCAUAGCCCCGAAGUCCAGGUAAAAGGAGCAUUUAAUGAAGAAACUCGCUGUUACGAAAUUAGAACGGCUUCAAAUUGUAGGAAACACGAAGAGGUGUUCAUCUGCUAUGGCCCUCAUGAUAACCAGCGGCUGCUCCUGGAGUAUGGAUUUGUUUCCAUCCAUAAUCCUCAUGCUUGUGUUUAUGUCUCAGAAGAUAUACUUGUUAAAUACCUUCCAACAACAGACAAACAGAUGAACAAGAAGAUUUCCAUUUUGAAGAAUCAUGACUUUAUAGAAAAUUUGACAUUUGGAUGGGAUGGACCAUCUUGGAGGUUGCUCACAGCUCUUAAGUUGUUAUGUCUGGAAGCCGAAGAAUUUACAUGCUGGAAAAAAAUACUUCUUGGGGAAGUCAUUUCAGAUACAAAUGAGAAGACAAGUUUGGUCAUAGCUCAGAAAAUAUGCCAAUAUUUCAUAGAAGAGACCAAUGCUAUGCUUCGAAAGAUUUCUCAUAUGAAAGAUGAAGAAGUGACUUUGCUAAACCAGCUAACUUUAGUAGAAACAUUGUGGACAGAAGAGCUAAAGAUUCUGCAGGCCUCUGCUGAGAUUCUAAACAGCUUGCGAACACCUUUUAGGGUGCUGGUGAGGGUUGGAUUGGCACAGCAGCAAGGCCAAGCACUUCUCUUCCCAGCAGCGACAGGAAAGGAUGCAGGCGGAGCGCUGGUCAGCACCAUUCACUCCCCUCCUCACUGCUCUGCCUCCAAGGCUACCUGUGGAAAUCAGCUGUGCGCUUAUACUGACCCAUAGGAACAAGUCUCUCUACUCCCAGUAGACUCUUCUUCAGCACUAGAAGAGUAUGUUAGGCCAAGGUUGAUGGACUAGGAAACCCUGCUGGAUCAUCUCCAGAAGGCACUGCAGAGGUGAUAAGAACAAGGAAUGACUAGUCUAAUGGGUAGAAAAAUAGCUUCUUUGUCAACUCAAUUGCAAAUGAAUGAAAAAGAAUUUCUGUGCCUUGACUGGAUGUGGCCGUAUCUCCCUCAGAAGAGGCACAGCUGGACUCUGAUGUGGACUAACUUCUACAGAGAGACUUUUCUUUGUAAAGGACAUUGCUUCUUAAUGGCUGAGUUCAAAGCAAACUUUAAAAAUUCCAAUCGAUUUCUCAUUUAUUACAUUUUGUUUUGUAAAAGAUUUUCUGCCAGUGAUUUCAGAAUGAAGGUGCCAAUAGUAAAAUAAUUGGUUUAUAAAUGGAAAGUUAAUCAGGCAUUCCCCUUUACACCAUCCCCUCCAAGGUCAGGGAUAUGACUGAAAUGCAAAGAAAACGCAGUGUACCAUUGGGAGAUGAGAGGUCUAUGUGAAAGGUCAUCAGCCUUAAGACUCCUUACAGAGAUAAGUGUUGAAGCAAAUGGCUUCAUGAGCUUUGGAGGAACAGGACAUAGUUGUACCUGGGAACAGAAGAAUGGUAUCUGCAGUUAUAUUAAUUGGGAUAACAAUUAUGAAAGUACCAGAAGCCUCAAGUUUCAGAGCCCACACUAAUCCCCAGGAAUACUUUUCCCCUGGUGGAUAUAAUAUUGCUGUUUUCCAGGUGCAUUCCUAAGAUAAAUUACAUUUCUCAGGCUCACUUAGUAUAGGCCACUAUCAGGAACAGGAUUUGGGGGUUGCCAGAAGUUUCUUUGGUUUCAUCCAGACAACUCUCUGCUUUCCUGGAGUGUCAGUGAACUUGAUGGAAAGGGUCAAAGCUGACUUGACUUUUAUCUGGAAGUAUGAGCUCUGUGUCAUGGUUUCAGUGAAACACAAGGCAGUUUGUUAGGGCUCAACAUGGUCUUUGAGAUUCUUCUCUAAUUCUUCAUCUGCCACCCUGACUGGCUCCACACUUGUUCUUUAGAAGACUGACUCAGAGGUCUACCAUGGUAAGCAUGGAAACAGAGUAGAAGGAUCUGGAAUAACUACUGGCCUCCUGCUUCCUGAAAGGAUUCCUGUUUACAUGAUGAUAAUGUAUUUCUUUAAGAUGUUGACUCACAUGUAGCUGCGUCCUGCCUAGAGACAGGGUCUGCUGUGUUGAAUGGCUGCUUUAGAUUUUCAUGGCCUUCUAUUGAACAUAGAUUAUGUUUUCCUGGAAAAUAGAACAUUAAAAUACUUGGUAAUUCUUCCAUAAACUGAGCUGAAUUCCAAGAACAGCAUGUAGGUAAUCCUACCUGAUUCACCUUCAGAGCUCUACUUUGAAUUUCUGUUGGUGGCAACAGAGCCCGUCAUGAAAAACAGCAUACUUCACCUUUGAAAAUGAAGAGUUACCUUAAAAAAAGGCCAGACAGGUUUUAAAAAGUUGUUGUUUAAGGCUUUUGUCUGAUCCUUAUCUGAAUGAGAAACCCUUCAACGUAACAAAAAUAUCUAGUCUCAAGCCAUUGGUGGUUUAUAUGACAUAUUCCAAAACCCUUGUAGGAAACUUAGAUGGCAUUUGAAAGGGUCAGUGUGACAGAAGUAUAUUCCAUAAACACAUUCAUUUCAACCAGUGACGUUUCUGUAUUCCCACUGGGGUUGACUUUUGAAGCCGUAGAUAAGUAAGACUUGGCACAUAUGAGACACUGCAGGUUUUGCAAGCUCAAUGUGUCAUUUCUCUCUUUCUCUACCCCUCUCUACAGGAAAUACUAAGUUAUUAAGUUCACUGCUAUUUCCUGAAAUGGCAUUGCUAUUUCCUGUCUGAAGAGCUGUAGGGGCAGGUUUCUAGGACACUGUGCCUAAGAGUUAAUGAUUCCACUGCUCAUGUUUCCCAGAAUAUUUCAUUCUCUCUUUUCUGUUAGGCAAAGAUCCAGGGGGGUUAGGUCUGAGAAGCAACACAAAACAUAUGCCACUCCCUACUUGGACUCUCCCUGAGAGUAAGUCACUUUUUUUCCCUCUGGAAACUGCUGCCACUUUUGGACAAUGUCUCAUGGAUGUCUGGUGACACAGAGGAUGGGGAGGGGACUGGACAGGAAGGUACAGGAGCUCUUUGCCAUUGCAUUCCUGCUUGCUUGGCCAGAAUUGGUUAGGAACAGGGAAGAGAGCAUUUAGGUUGAGUUUGCUAUAGAAGAUGAAGGGAAGCCAGGCAAGACACUCAUUAUAGACACAUAUGCUUCAUAUUUAAAGAAAAAUAUAUUUUUAGGUUAAAUUAACUUCAGAAGCAUAAACCAGGAUGAUUUCUGUUAGAGCACUGUUGAGUUCCCUGCCCCUCAGGUUCCACAAACCUGCCCUUACAACCAUCCUUUCACAUUGAGUCCUUACCUGUUUCAGGGUCCGUGGGCUGGUAAUGAGCCCAUCCCCAGGCUGAGAAUAUCUGUGGUUGCCAGAAGCUCACAGAGAAGAGCAUCUGAAUGCGUUUUAUCUUUCAGCUGAAAUGACUUCCUAAGGACACACACAUAGUGUCAUUGUGACAUUUAUGGUCUUAAUUUCAAAUCCUUUUCCUAUCACAGAGAAAUAGUUCAAAUCACUAACCACCCAUUUGUCCAAGAAGCCAGAUCCUUUGGAAAUCACGCAAAAACACCCAAGAGCAAUAAUAAAACCAGCAACACAAAAUAGGUUAGAAAGUCUGUGAAGAUCUAUUCCUAUUGGUUUCUUUGGACAGUAGCCGGGAGGCAGCUUUGACAAUAUGAUCUCAGUUCAGUGGCAUAUGGCAUAGCAUAUUAAAGGAGGAAAGGGUGCAUGUCAAAGCCCAGUGCAUGAGGUCUAUGCUUCCCAGGCAGUGACUACCCAACCAAAAAUCACACUGGUGUUUGCAGUGGGCAUUUCUCAGAAAAGGGGAAAGGAAAGGAGAAGACAGAAAAGAUGGCUUUGUGAAGAUGACACAGAGAUUAGAAUUAUGAAAUUUCAAGUCAAGGAACACCAAUCCCAUAGUGUUGGGCAGCUUCUGUGGCUCACCAGUCUCCUCUAUAAGGAACACAAUUUUUUUUUUUUAGAUGUUAAUCUAGUCAUGAGGGUCUUGCUGGUCUGGGAGCUAUUCUAUCUCUUGAACCUCCUUUGUGUUCAUUAUCUGAUGGUUUUACAGAUUAACUCAUAGAAUCACCACUUUAUUCCUCAAAAAUUCUUGGGACAGUGAUGUAAGGGGGAGAUCCACUUCCAUAGAAAGUGUACUCUGCAAGGGCAGAGAUUAUCAAAGUAUAUAUUUUUGUUUCUGUAUGCAUUUUCCUGUGAGACCUUGCCAGCUCUGACUGGUUCCAUGUCUAUUUUCUGAGGCCAUGAUGGUAAAAUCAACAUCACUGCCAUCCUACUAUACCAAGUCCUCUUCCAAAGGAGUUGUGGACACUAGAUAGAAGAUAAAGCAGAGACACAAAUUAUCUGAACUUUGGUGUAACUUUCUCUCCAGGGUCAAGACCAUCCUUUCCUGUCUCCUCCAAAGAAGACACUGAUUCAAAUGUCUUUCCUAAUUAAAAACCGAGUUUUUCUAAGACACACAUUUUAUGGAAGGUAGAAUGCUUGUGCGAGUCUUGUAGGGUGGGUAGGAGUUACUCUUCUGGUGACUAGGUGGGGUAAGGAUGGUCUAGGUGGGGGGAAUGCACAUGAGGAGGCUUUGGUGGGGAUGGAACGCUGGCUUGGUAUACAUACUGAGCAGUGUCAGUGAUAUGGAUCCACUGGGAAGGCAGGGUUAGUAUCAUGAUCAGAUUGAAUUUUUGAAAGAGCCUUUUGAUGCCCUGAUGGAGCAUGGGCAGUAGUGGGAUGAGUUCUCCCUACUUUCUGGCAGGGAGAACUGCCAGCAGACAAUGGAAGGAAGUAGUAAGUGCCAAGUGGGAUUUGAUCUUGAUCUGCAUGGUUUUAGAACAUUUUAUGUCUCAACUCAUAUCACAUUUCUUCUCCAUCCAUCUUUCAGAGGUGUUGUGAAGCACAAAUGAGAUAAAAAGUAGCAAGGUAUGUGCAAGAGCAGCCUAAAUUAUUAGAAACAGCUCCUAAGAAUGACAUUCUGUUAUGCUGAGUAGACAAGAAAAACAGACCAGACCUCACACAAGGCCGCAUAGAAUAGGAGAAAGAGGGAUGGGUAAUGAUGUGGGGUGUAUUUCUCACAGUCUAACUUUUCAAUCAUUAUGGGAAUUCAUAAUUUAGAUGCCUUUUUUUUGAAGCAAAAAUAAACAUAAUAUGCAAUUAAGCCACUGUCCGUGACACGUAUUUCUGGAAGACGAAUCAUGCCUCCAUAACAUUUACUAAAUAAAACACAGAGAACAUGAUCCAUACAUCAGAAAGAAGUUGCAGCCUCUUCCUAGGGUGUAGGAUCAGUUACAUCAAUGUUCCUAGCUCUGUACCUGGUACGUUGUAGGUGGCCAUUACAUUAAAAAACAUAAUGUAGGGAACCUACACGUUUCUUUGCCCCUGCUGGCAUGCAAUUUUGUUUUCUCUCUAUAAUGCAACUGGAAUUAUUCAAACUAAUCAAACAUUUGCCUUUACAAAUAUAAGAGGCUUCUAAUACACAUUUUGGUUAUGUCCGCUUACACUUUUCUUUUUCUUGGUCGUAUGCAAACAUUGGGUGAACCCUGAGCUUGGGAACCUUUCUGUUCUUUUCUCCUUGUUUUUGUUAGCUGAGGUUGGAGGUUGAAUGCUGAAUAAACUCAUCUCUGGGUCUCAGAACUCUUGAUGAAGGCAAUUCUGCCCUCUGAUAUUAUGUGUAAUAUAAUAUUGGUAAUUUGACCUGUUUGAUUUCUACAUAAGCUGUCAUUUUAUACACCUACAGAAAGCAAGGGAGGAAAUGAAUGAAGAGGAUGUUUCUAGUAGCAAACAGAAACAGUCAGUUACCAAAAGCUAUCCUUGCUCAAGUAACUACUUAAGUAUUUUAUUUAAGAAUUUUCGAUUGUAGCUGUGUAUUUUGUGCUUCUGGGUGUUCUGGUAAAUGGUCAGUAAUGACUUUGAGUUUGGUUAUAAAAUGUUACCUAAUAGUUUAAUAUCACUUGUAUGCAGAAAGUAAUCAAUAUUUUUAUAAAGUAUGUGUAUUAUUGAUAAAUGGUUGGGAUAAACUAUAACAUUUUUAUCUGAUGAAAACAGUAAUACAAACUCAUUUUAUAGCAAAUAUAGGAAAUACAUGAAGGUGCAGAAAUUACCUGGGAUCCAUUACUCAACUAUAAAUGCCAUUAUUUGAAGUAUUUCCUUUUUUUUGUUUAUGAAUAUGUAAAAUAACUGUAUGUGAAUAUAUAUAUAUAUAUACUACAUUAUAAAAUCCUG